rnacentral:rRNA from 1 species
GUCAAAUCAUCAUGCCCCUUAUGUCUUGGGCUUCACGCAUGCUACAAUGGCCGGUACAACGGGUUGCGAUACUGUGAGGUGGAGCGAAUCCCUAAAAGCCGGUCUCAGUUCGGAUUGGGGUCUGCAACUCGACCCCAUGAAGUCGGAGUCGCUAGUAAUCGCAGAUCAGCAACGCUGCGGUGAAUACGUUCCCGGGCCUU